rnacentral:rRNA from 1 species
UACGAUGGGGGCUAGCGUUGCUCGGAAUUACUGGGCGUAAAGGGCGCGUAGGCGGAUCGUUAAGUCAGAGGUGAAAUCCCAGGGCUCAACCCUGGAACUGCCUUUGAUACUGGCGAUCUUGAGUAUGAGAGAGGUAUGUGGAACUCCGAGUGUAGAGGUGAAAUUCGUAGAUAUUCGGAAGAACACCAGUGGCGAAGGCGACAUACUGGCUCAUUACUGACGCUGAGGCGCGAAAGCGUGGGGAGCAAACA